AUGCAUAUUUAAAUUUAUAGAUGAGAACAUUCUCGUGGGUAAUACCAGUCGAAAAUUUCUUACGCAAGGUUCCUAAGAUUCCACCGAAAUAUUAUCCCAAAGUCACGGGGCGUGUAAAAUCAAUGGAUGGGCCGCGGUUAAUUUUCGGCUCAGAAUUAGAGCUUGGGAAAAAAAUGAAUAAAAAAUUACCGACCGCCACGUGUGUAGCCUUUCAUAUAUAUGUAUAUAGGAUAUUACGAAUAGAGCAUAGGAGCGAGUAUAUAAUAACGUCAUCCACCAAACGCCGCGGUUAUAUACAUGGCGCAGCAUUGCGUUGAAGGGGAAAAUAGAGAAAUAGAAAUUUACCGGACAAACAACUCUCGUCCGUUUCAUCGAAGAAUGCAGGUUAACAUGAUCGCAUACGUUUGGAGUAACGUGUAUUACGAAUAGAAUAUGUACGUAGGUACGCGUAACUCUUCCCUUCAUGUUACAUUUGUCGUCCGCGCGGUUACACCCCGUUUGAAAAGAGAGGCAUGUGCAGGUUCCGAGAGAGAGAGAGAGAGAGACAACGGAACGGUUAAUCGCGCUUUGUAUGUAAACACAGCUAGCGUAAACGCCGAUCGGAAUUCGUAGUAGUAGAGACGCACUACUGCGGUUGAGCGAAACCUACAAUUCUGUUUAUUUCCAUGACCCGUCGUUCCCCUUGGAUUCACACGUAAAUGCGAACAGUACCUACUCCGUAUCUAUUCUUCAGUUGUCUGAGGGAAUUAGGCUGGAGUGGUCGCGUCGUACAGGAUUAUACGUCUAAAGUAAGUACGAGUAAAAUUGUGGAAAUUUUUCCUUCGUACUUCGAGAGAGGGUGGACGCAUCCGGCGAACAAGAGGCGAUGCGCUUGGACCAUUAUUGGACUCCGAGGACGAGGUAUUAUGGAGAUGUUCGAGCAGACGAUGGACUAGCGUCUGAACGUGAUGUAUUUUACAGCCGAUAGAAGUCGAUGUCUGUUUGAAAACGCACGUUAGGUAUGCACUUGCGGCAAUGAAAUCAAGAGAUUUUAACGUUGUGGAUAAUUCAUGUGUACAAAUUUCCGCAUUUUGUUUUUAUCAUUUCCGUCGUGCAAACUGUAAGAAAAAAAAUUAUACAGGUGGACAAUGAGCGAACAGAAGAUCGAACUAUCCGUAGCAUAGGAAAUAAGAUACACUUUCUCCUUGUGCUAAACUUCACUCCUUCGACUGUGAAAAUAUGGAAUUUCAUAUAGAUUACCGGUCUAUCUCCGCAAGAUGCAUAUCGAUCCUGAAAAUAAUACACCUUGACAUUUGAGUGGAAUAUUUAAAACUAUUAUCGAUAUUAAUGAAUACGCUAUGAAACGAAAAAAAAAAAGUGUCAAAAGCGCAAUAAGGAUCAUUUGUAUUGCACAAAGUUCAUCUGACCUUAACCGAUUGUUCGAGUAUAUAAUGGAAUAAAAUCUGGAUUGUCUUAAUGUA